CCCCUGGCGGCAGGGCCUCGUGGUCUCAGAGGAUGUGGCUUGUGCUUCUCCCAGGAGGAGUGGCUCGGCGCCUGCUGCGUGGAGGUUCACCCUCGAGGAAGACCUCAUGGAUGCAGAGAUGGAAGGCCUUCCACCCAAGAGGCUUCUUCAUUUAGCAGCAGAACAUUCGCGGUAGAGAGGCGUGUGAGUGCAGCCGAUGUGAGAAAACCUUCAGUCAAGGGCCUCACCUCGUAAAGCGUCACGAAGUUCAUGCUGGGGAAAUGCCUUAAGUGUGCAGGGAACGUGCUCUCUCCUCGCUCAGCGGAACAGGACGCGUGCCAGAGGUGAGGGACACUGUUGGCCUCAUGUGACUCGCGAUGGAUUUGUCCAGCUUCCAAGUCAGACUUCCAAGGGAACUGCCUGCCUCCCAUUAUUCUGCUGGGUGUGGAAAUAAAGGCCUUGUUACUGAAGCCACCUUGAACCUGGGGAUUUUGGCUUACUGUGUAGGCCGCCAGUCUUUGGUCGUUGUCACGGCAGCUCCAGGAAAUGCAGUUCCGUAAACAUCUCCUGAGCCCCCGCUAAGAAACAGCCACUGAUCCAGGUGCUGGGCGAAUAGGACGGACCGGGUCCUGCCCUCCUGGGACUUUCAGCUGGUGACUCGAAAAGAGAACAUCUAGAAAAAAUACUCACGGCUCACUCAUUCCUGACCCUUCACCUUGAAUGUCCUGAAUGUUGGCAUCUCUACAACUCUUCAUGACAGUGUACCUUGAAAAACUUUCUCAAAUGUGACACUGAUUAUGACACACAGUGACAGCAAGCUCAGAGCCAUAGAACGAGCAAAGCAUCCUAAUCUAUGUCCCUGAAGGUGAGCUAUUUGGUGAUUUAACUACAGUCCCGAUUCCGUGGUCUACCCGGAGGUCUCUGAACAGGUGCAGCCACGAGACCUAGGAGAUGCAGCAGAGUUGGAAUAUUCCAGCAAACUUGGGCAGAGCAUGCCCACCGAUUCUGGGAGACAGCUUUGUUUGGAUACUCUCUGGAACUGGUAGUAGCAGAAUGCAGAAUUGUGGAAUUUCCUGAACUUUGUUCUGUUGAAUGAAUGGUCUCCUGGGAUCCACCACCACCACUCGCACCCAAAGGAUCCUGGGGGUCGAAUAAGUCUGAAAACACAGUUCCCUCCUGGAGCUUUACCAUGCUUAUUAGCACAAUAAAGGCUCUGAUAAGUCUUGCAGAGAAAAGAACGGUGUUUAAUUUUGGGUUAAACAAGAUUUCUCAAACUUAGCAGAGCCAGAGUAUUUUUUAUUUUUUUCCACUUAGUACCGCUAUGAGCAUCUGCUUUUCUGAAGACUUCAGUUUGGGAAACACUAUUGGAAAGGAAUCCACACUUAACUCCUGUGUCAUAAAGAUAGUCGUUUCUUCCAGGAAAUCCAGUCUCUCUUUGUCAGGUGACAUUAGGUCCCAUCAGGUGACAGGUUGAAGGUACUUGGCAUUUCACAAUUAAAAAAUUUGUUCACUGUUUUCCUUCAUAUAACAUAUUCCUUACUUUUUAAUGCUCCUUAUUUAUUUUUGGAGAAAUAAAAGAUACCCUUGCUAUUUCACAGGGAA